AGUGAACGCUGGCGGUAGGCCUAACACAUGCAAGUCGAACGGCAGCACAGUAAGAGCUUGCUCUUACGGGUGGCGAGUGGCGGACGGGUGAGGAAUACAUCGGAAUCUACUUUUUCGUGGGGGAUAACGUAGGGAAGCUUACGCUAAUACCGCAUACGACCUACGGGUGAAAGCAGGGGAUCUUCGGACCUUGCGCGAUUGAAUGAGCCGAUGUCGGAUUAGCUAGUUGGCGGGGUAAAGGCCCACCAAGGCGACGAUCCGUAGCUGGUCUGAGAGGAUGAUCGGCCACACUGGAACUGAGACACGGUCCAGACUCCGACGGGAGGCAGCAGUGGGGAAUAUUGGACAAUGGGCGCAAGCCUGAUCCAGCCAUACCGCGUGGGUGAAGAAGGCCUUCGGGUUGUAAAGCCCUUUUGUUGGGAAAGAAAAGCAGCAGGUUAAUACCCCGCUGUUCUGACGGUACCCAAAGAAUAAGCACCGGCUAACUUCGUG
rnacentral:rRNA from 1 species